rnacentral:tRNA from 1 species
GCGGGUAUGAUGGAAUUGGCAGACAUGCAAGAUUUAGGUUCUUGUGCGCAAGCGUGCAGGUUCGACCCCUGUUACCCGCACCA